rnacentral:piRNA from 1 species
UGAAGAAACUUUAUUCGAGAU